ACUCUCCCACCACAGAUCACAGCAUGCUGGAAAUCAUUUAUGCAUCUGCCAUGAAAUACCUGGAAGAAAGAACCUGGAUUGGAGCUGCCUCAUCAGGCACCAACAGAAUCACAAAUGGAGGCUCGCUGGUAAAAAGGAGCCAAUAAGGACAGCGAAACAGGGUUUGGAAAGGAGAUGGAAAGCUUACACCUCUCACAAAACUUAGAGCCCGUGGCAGAAAUCACGUCCUCACUGAAAACUUCUGCAAAUGUAGGAAGUCAAGCAGUCAGACAGGGUCUGCUAUCAGUGCAGAGCCAAAAUAAAGAAUAUUUUCCUAACUGCUGCGGGCCACUUCAAUAUGGUACGGCAUUGCCAAUUCCAAAGAGAGCACAGAGGUUACCUGGAAUGGAAAAAGCUGUGAGAGUGGAUUAUGGGCUGGAAAAGAUGUGGGCUGUGGUCAUCAUAUCCUGGAUAAUUGUCUAUGUCAAAGCUGUACUUUCUGGGACCUACCUGCUUCCCCUUGCAGGGAGGUUUUCUCCUUUCUUCUACUACUCUGCACAAAGAAGGAUUUUCUGUGUUGUUUUCUCCUCUGAAAUAUCUUCUGGCUCAUUUCUAGUCCAUCCUCUGUGCUCUUCAGCUUGCUCUGAGAAAGCUGAGAACAUUCUCAGCGGGAUGAGCUCAAGGUGGGGAAUGCACAGGAAGCAGAAAUGAAGUUAGUGUCAAACUCACUCUUGUACAAACAGAAACCCAAAUAAAUUGUGAUGUUCUACCCAACUCUCUGAUAUUUUGAAAGCUUAUUUUGUCUGCAGCCUUUUAACAGUGCUGUGUCCCUCUCCCCUUUUCCAAGUAUUGAUGUACAUUUGCCUUUUGUGAAAGGAUUUCCCUCUCAGGCCUUAAAAUGUGGUACCAAAUGACAAGGGGAAGAUGGUUACACCAGUAGCUGUUUCUGUGGUGACUAAGGCUUGUCUGAUGAGCACUGCUGAUCUCUGCCAUGUUUUUCAUAGUUGGACACGUGUGUAAUGUUUUUGAGUGUCAAAGCAGACACAUAGACCAAGUGAAAAUUUAUCUCCUUGUCACUGCAGG
rnacentral:lncRNA from 1 species